UCACAGCAGUGUGUUCCAGGCCAGAGCCCAGCCCUGCAGCUCCCCGUGGGGACCCACGUGCCUCCUCUCUCACACAUACACACUCUGCCAAUGCCACCUGACCUGGCUGUGAGCUCUCCUCUGUGCUUGUCUGCGGCCAGAGCAGCUGACGUCAGCCUUCCGGAGUGACUGUGAGAACCAGGUCCAGGGACAUCGCACACAGGCCGCCAGAAGGUUCUCACGAGCAGCUGGAUAUCAGCCAUGUGCACCCUGGUGAGGAUGCUCAUCAGCCAGAGUCCUGAGAGCACAAAAGAGAUCAUCAGGGGAAGGUGUCUGCCCCAGAUGUCAUAGAAACCCCCGGGAGCCAGAAUUGCCAUUUGAAGCGGCUCUGGAAGGAAGCGUGGUUUCCCUAGGUGGAGAACGGGCGCUUCGGUGUAUGCAAAGAGAUCUGCAGGGGCAUGAACCCAGCUGCCCAUGGCUGUCCCUGGGCCUCCCCUUUAGUGAGAAGAUGAGAGACUGCAGACAACAGUAGGUAUUACAUUACAAUACAAGACAUCAUAUUAGCCCAAUUUCAUGAUUGAGGAAAAUGAGCAACAGAGAAGUCAAGUGCCUUGAUGAGGUCACACAGCCAGGAAGUAGCAGAGGUGGGGUUUGGAUACCAGCAGGCUAGCUGCACGGCCCCUGCUUUGAAGCACUUAUGAAAACUGCCUCUGGACUCUUGGGUGUUCAAUGGUCCCUCUGUCACCCAGUUUAGUCCUAAUUUGGCUCCACAGAGUCUUCCUCCCUGGACGGUACAAAGGCCCAUGCCGGCCGAGAGUCACAUCUAGGUCUUUUUGUAAGGGAUCUACGCCAGCAGAUCUUUCUAGGCCCUUGUUAGUUUCCCCUGAGGCUUCCCCCUGCUCCUCACCCUCCCUGCCCAGGCCCCCAGCCCUGCCGCUCCUUUGUGGGGAUCAUGGCACCCGUGGCCAGCUCGGCUCUGGGGAACCGUGAUUCCACUCACCCUGCGGAAAGCCACCCACUGCGUCCUGCCCGCACGCCACGUCCUCCCCAAACAGCUGAGCCUGUGCAAUGUGAGAGGGGAGACGCUUGCCAGAGGUUUCCGGAAAGCAUCCAGAGGUCACUCUGGGCUGGCUCAAGUGGAUCGGGCCCUGACCACUGCUCUGAAUAGGCACUGUCCCACCCUGGGGCCACUCCCUCAGCACCAGAGCAGGCUAAUUGAUGGGUGGGGAGGUGUGGAGGGCUGGAAGCUGGUUUGCAGCUGAAGGAGGCAAGAGGGGAGCCAGGCAUUUGACUCAGCAGCUGACAAAUAUGAGAUGCCAAGAGAAGGUGGAGGGGAGCAUCCAGAUCUUCAGCCCCAAACUGCCUGCCCAGGCCCAGACCCCAUCUACACACCCAACCCAAUCUCUACAGCCGGCCUACCCACCCCCCUCCCUAACCAGCAAGCCCCUUACCUCCCAUGCCACCAUCGACCCUCUCAGCCAAUACCCAACCCACCCAGCGCUCAGAACACACACUCCCCACCCCCACCUGCUCUCACAAUACUCACCCUGCUCAGCUACAGCCUGGGGUGUGUGCUUCCCAUCUGGCUACCCAAGUGAACACCCUACUUAGGGCAUCUCUGGCCCACACCCACUCAGCCUUCACCAGGCCUAUCUCUCUCUGAUGCCCAGCCUACCAACCCAACUGCUGGCCAGCCCACUCGGCACCCAGUCAGCUCCUCAGCACAAUUCCAACCUGCCCGCGGGACCCCUAACUGCCCAUCCAUAACAUCAACCAACCACUAGUCCACUUACGCAGCCCACCCACAGCCCCAUUUCAUAAAUCAGAGCCACUGUGUGCAGAGCACCCUCUGGGUGCUAGUAAACGCAGACCUCCAGCUCCUCCAGCACUGUCCCCGAGUCAUCUCAGAGGCCGUGUCCUGGACAGAGUAUCCUCUACUCAAGGCUCAAAGGAGCAGGGCAUGUGGGGCCGGCCACUUGCAAAGACUGCUCCCACGCCCCUCACGGCUCAAGUGAGGAGAGCACGAGAUGGCUUUCCACACAUUUCACGUCUUCGACUGCAAAAUCUCCUGGGAAAGACAAGAAGUUGCAAAAACUAAGAGGCAGUUGAAGAGGUCGCCAGCAAAUGAAGCUCAGGAGGCCAGACAGACGGACAGAACUCCCCGUCUCCCUCAAUGCCAAAGAAAGGAAGGCUGAGUGGACUGAUGCAAGGGCCCCGGGCAAGGAUUAGGACACCUGGCUUCCUCUCCUGGCCCCACCAGUCAUGAGGGACCUUGGGCGCCGGACUGUAGGAGUCAGGGGUUCUGGGUGUAGACCCAGCUAUGACACUCACCAUGUGGUCUUGAGCAAGUCACCUUGGGCUAGAGAGUCUUUGCCAGGAGCUUGGCUAGGUUCCUGGUCCUCUCUGUCCUCGGCACUCCAGUUCCAACCAUGGGGCUCCUGCUUCAUCUGCUGACCAAACCCCACCAAGUGCAUGGCUUCCACGUCACCCCCAGUGCUGAGCAGGAGGAGAAGCAGGCAGGGAGGCCUCUCCAAGGGCUCCCGAGAUGAAGACAUGUCAGCAACAUCCACAUGGCCAGACUCCCCAGCCCAGGGAGGGCAACUAAGCGUUAUUUCACACGCCAGCACCCACUGAGGGCUAGUUGCUGCUUGGAGCACAGUUCAGAGGAGGAUCCUGUGCUCAGAGAGGAAGCACCAAGAUCAACCAAGUGAUGUCAGUAGAGGGAAUAGGGAAAGGGGACACGAAUGCCAGGAACUUGGAAACCCUAAUGAAGGCCCAUGCCAGCCUCUGGGUUUGUGUCCCUGUUGUUAUCCUCAAGCCUAUAGUAAAGUCUGGUUUAAACAAGCCUCUGUCAAUUGUGCUACCGGAAACGAAGGCGGAAUGAUGAGUCUGCUCCUGGGUCAGACAGCAAAUGGGAGACAGUGCCCCCCGAGGUCAGCAUGACG
rnacentral:lncRNA from 1 species